rnacentral:rRNA from 1 species
UGUGGAAGAAGGCCUUCGGGUUGGAAAGCCCUUUUGUUGGGAAAGAAAUCCAGCUGGUUAAUACCCGGUUGGGAUGACGGUACCCAAAGAAUAAGCACCGGCUAACUUCGUGCCAGCAGCCGCGGUAAUACGAAGGGUGCAAGCGUUACUCGGAAUUACUGGGCGUAAAGCGUGCGUAGGUGGUUGUUUAAGUCUGUUGUGAAAGCCCUGGGCUCAACCUGGGAACUGCAGUGGAAACUGGACGACUAGAGUGUGGUAGAGGGUAGCGGAAUUCCUGGUGUAGCAGUGAAAUGCGUAGAGAUCAGGAGGAACAUCCAUGGCGAAGGCAGCUACCUGGACCAACACUGACACUGAGGCACGAAAGCGUGGGGAGCAAACAGGAUUAGAUACCCUGGUAGUCCACGCCCUAAACGAUGCGAACUGGAUGUUGGGUGCAAUUUGGCACGCAGUAUCGAAGCUAACGCGUUAAGUUCGCCGCCUGGGGAGUACGGUCGCAAGACUGAAACUCAAAGGAAUUGACGGA